rnacentral:rRNA from 1 species
AUCUACAGUCAUGCCACCCCGAACAAGCCCAAUGUCUGAUCUCAGAAGCUAAGCAGGGUUGAGCCUGGUUAGUAUUUGGAUGGGAGAACAUCUAAGAAGACCAGGUGCUAUAGAUA